AUUGAACGCUGGCGGAAUGCUUUACACAUGCAAGUCGAACGGCAGCACGGACUUCGGUCUGGUGGCGAGUGGCGAACGGGUGAGUAAUACAUCGGAACGUGCCCAGUCGUGGGGGAUAACGUAGCGAAAGCUACGCUAAUACCGCAUACGAUCUAAGGAUGAAAGCGGGGGACCGUAAGGCCUCGCGCGAUUGGAGCGGCCGAUGGCAGAUUAGGUAGUUGGUGGGGUAAAGGCCUACCAAGCCGACGAUCUGUAGCUGGUCUGAGAGGACGACCAGCCACACUGGGACUGAGACACGGCCCAGACUCCUACGGGAGGCAGCAGUGGGGAAUUUUGGACAAUGGGCGCAAGCCUGAUCCAGCCAUUCCGCGUGCAGGAUGAAGGCCCUCGGGUUGUAAACUGCUUUUGUACGGAACGAAAAGGCUCUGGUUAAUACCUGGGGCUCAUGACGGUACCGUAAGAAUAAGCACCGGCUAACUACGUGCCAGCCGCCGCGGUAA
rnacentral:rRNA from 1 species